CGUGGGGGAUAACUACUCGAAAGAGUAGCUAAUACCGCAUACGAUCUGAGGAUGAAAGCGGGGGACCUUCGGGCCUCGCGCGAUUGGAGUGGCCGAUGGCAGAUUAGGUAGUUGGUGGGAUAAAAGCUUACCAAGCCGACGAUCUGUAGCUGGUCUGAGAGGACGACCAGCCACACUGGGACUGAGACACGGCCCAGACUCCUACGGGAGGCAGCAGUGGGGAAUUUUGGACAAUGGGCGAAAGCCUGAUCCAGCAAUGCCGCGUGCAGGAUGAAGGCCUUCGGGUUGUAAACUGCUUUUGUACGGAACGAAAAAGCUUCUCCUAAUACGAGAGGCCCAUGACGGUACCGUAAGAAUAAGCACCGGCUAACUACGUGCCAGCAGCCGCGGUAAUACGUAGGGUGCGAGCGUUAAUCGGAAUUACUGGGCGUAAAGCGUGCGCAGGCGGUUAUGUAAGACAGAUGUGAAAUCCCCGGGCUCAACCUGGGAACUGCAUUUGUGACUGCAUGGCUAGAGUACGGUAGAGGGGGAUGGAAUUCCGCGUGUAGCAGUGAAAUGCCCACCUAUGCGGAGGACACCGAUGGCGAAGGCAAUCCCCUGGACCUGUACUGACGCUCAUGCAC
rnacentral:rRNA from 1 species